GUCUACGGCCAUGCCACCCUGAACGAGCUCGACCCCUUAUGAUCUCGGAAGCUAACCAGGGUCGGUCCUGGUUAGUACUUGAAUGGGAGACCACCUAGGAAGACCAGGUGUUGUAGGCA
rnacentral:rRNA from 1 species